rnacentral:rRNA from 1 species
AUGCAAGUCGAGCGGUAACAGAGAGUAGCUUGCUACUCUGCUGACGAGCGGCGGACGGGUGAGUAAUGCUUGGGAAUAUGCCUUAUGGUGGGGGACAACAGUUGGAAACGACUGCUAAUACCGCAUGAUGUCUACGGACCAAAGUGGGGGACCUUCGGGCCUCACGCCAUAAGAUUAGCCCAAGUGGGAUUAGCUAGUUGGUGAGGUAAUGGCUCACCAAGGCGACGAUCCCUAGCUGGUUUGAGAGGAUGAUCAGCCACACUGGGACUAAGACACGGCCCAGACUCCUACGGGAGGCAGCAGGGGGGAAUAUUGCACAAUGGGCGCAAGCCUGAUGCAGCCAUGCCGCGUGUGUGAAGAAGGCCUUCGGGUAGUAAAGCACUUUCAGUAAGGAGGAAAGGUUAAGUGUUAAUAGCACUUAGCUGUGACGUUACUUACAGAAGAAGCACCGGCUAACUCCGUGCCAGCAGCCGCGGUAAUACGGAGGGUGCGAGCGUUAAUCGGAAUUACUGGGCGUAAAGCGUACGCAGGCGGUUUGUUAAGCGAGAUGUGAAAGCCCCGGGCUC